UUGCAUCUUGGAACAGAAAAUAGAAGAGGUGUCCUCGCAGGAGUGACAUCGUCUUUAAAUCCUAUGUGGCAAUCCCUGACGCACCGUCGUGAUGCCCACGGAAGACAGGGUGACCUGGAAGUCCAACUACUUCCUUAAGAUCAUCCAGCUUUUGGAUGGUUAUCCGAAAUGUUUCAUGGUGGGAGCAGACAAUCUGGGCUCCAAGCAGAUGCAGCAGAUCCUCAAGUCCCUCCGAGGGAAGGCCAUGGUGCUGAUGGGCAAGAAACCAUGAUGCUCAAGGCCAUCCAAGGGCACCUGGAAAACAGCCGAGCUCUGGAGAAACUGUUGCCUCGUAUCCAGGGAAAUGUGGGCUUUGUGUUCACCAAGGAGGACCUCACUGAGAUCAGGGACAUGCUGGUAGCCAGUAAGGUGCCAGGAGCCACCUGUGCUGGUGCCAUUGCCCCAUGUGAUGUCACUGUGCCAGGCCAUCCUUGAGAAGACCUCCUUUUUUAUUUUUUUGAGAUGGAGUUUCCCUGUUGUUGCCCAGGC
ensembl:lncRNA novel transcript